GACGAACCGUGCAAACGUUAUUCGGAAUCACUGGGCAUAAAGGGCGCGUAGGCGGCUUUCUAAGUCAGGGGUGAAAUCCGGCAGCUCAACUGUCGCAGUGCCUUUGAUACUGGAGAGCUCGAGGGAGGUAGGGGUCUGUGGAACUUCCGGUGGAGCGGUGAAAUGCGUUGAUAUCGGAAGGAACGCCGGUGGCGAAAGCGACGGACUGGAUCUCUUCUGACGCUGAGACGCGAAAGCGUGGGUAGCAAACAGG
rnacentral:rRNA from 1 species